ensembl:snRNA U6 U6 spliceosomal RNA
GCUUGCUUGACAGCAAGCGUGCACGCUAAAUUGGAUACGAUACAGAGAAGAUUAGCAUGGCCCCCUGCGCAAGGAUGACACGCAAAUUGGUGAAGCGUUCCACAUUUUU